AUCCAAUGGAGAGUUUGAUCCUGGCUCAGGAUAAACGCUGGCGGCGUGCCUUACGCAUGCAAGUCGAACGAAGCCCCUCGCUUCGGUGAGGGAGACUGAGUGGCAAACGGCUGAGUAACGCGUAGGUGAUCUGUCCCGAGGAGGGGAACAACCCGUGGAAACGCGGGCUAAUGCCCCAUACGCCCACCGGAUCGGACCGGUGGGGAAAUGUUCCGGCGCCUUGGGAGGAGCCUGCGUCCGAUUAGCUGGUUGGUGGGGUAACGGCCUACCAAGGCGACGAUCGGUAGCUGGUCUGAGAGGAUGAUCAGCCACACUGGGACUGAGACACGGCCCAGACUCCUACGGGAGGCAGCAGCAGGGAAUCUUGCGCAAUGGGCGAAAGCCUGACGC
rnacentral:rRNA from 1 species